CCUACGGGAGGCAGCAGUGAGGAAUCUUGGUCAAUGGGCGCGAGCCUGAACCAGCCAAGUAGCGUGAAGGAUGACUGCCCUACGGGUUGUAAACUUCUUUUAUAAAGGAAUAAAGUGAGGCACGUGUGCCUUUUUGUAUGUACUUUAUGAAUAAGGAUCGGCUAACUCCGUGCCAGCCGCCGCGGUAAUACGGAGGAUCCGAGCGUUAAUCGGAUUUAUUGGGUUUAAAGGGAGCGUAGAUGGGUUGUUAAGUCAGUUGUGAAAGUUUGCGGCUCAACCGUAAAAUUGCAUUUGAUACUGGCAGUCUUGAGUACAGUUGAGGUAGGCGGAAUUCGUGGUGUAGCGGUGAAAUGCUUAGAUAUCACGAAGAACUCCGAUGGCGAAGGCAGCUUACUAAACUGCCACUGACAUUGAUGCUCGAAAGUGUGGGUAGCAAACAGGAUUAGAUACCCUUGUAGUC
rnacentral:rRNA from 1 species